rnacentral:lncRNA from 1 species
UGAGCAGAUCUAGCUGCAGGCAUCCCUGUUCAUUGCAGGGGAGUUGGACUAGAUGGCCUUCAAUGAUCCCUUCCAAUUCAAAUGAUUCUAUGAUUUUGGGUUGAUAACCCUGCCCGUGGCAGAGGGAUUGAAACUAGAUGAUCAUUAUGGUCCUUUUCAACCCAAGUCAUUCUAUGAUUCUAUGAAUCUCUGGUUGAUUCUAUGAUUCGAUGAUCUAAACUAAUGGUCAGUAAUAAACUGCAUGUAUCAGUGUUGGCUGUGACAUCCUAUUGAACGUGAUUAACAAGUUGGAUGUAUAUGUAGAGCUUGAUGUUUACAUGUGAAAAUGUUUAUUCCUGCCUUUAUGUAACAACCUUGAGGAAGCCCUUAUGAUGAGUCAACACUUUAUUAAGACUAAGCCUAGCAUGGCAUUUUCUGGUAACAAUGGCCAGCUGAGAACCUUACCAUGCUUUACCUUUAAUUGUAACAGGUAAUGAUUUUGUGUAGAGUAGGUAGAAAUAUUUCUGGUUGAUUUAAGGAACAGUAAGUCAAGGAGAGUUCUAAAUUGUAGUAAUGCAUAAAGGUAGGUUGCCAAAGAAAACAUGACUCCCUAAAUCUCCAUCUCUUUCCAAGAUUCCAAAUGGAGGACAUGAUGUUGGAUGAAAGUGUCCUCAACAGAAGGGCUGCUAGUGGCUGGCAUCUUUUCAGUUGGACCAUGCUGACAGAGCAGCCACGUGAAGUAUUUCCACUGGUCAGCAAUGGCAGCCAUCAGUGAGCACCGCACAAUUCAUAUGUUAAACAAAGUGCUACUCAUGGAAGGACAAAACAGUAACCUCCAGCUUCACAAAAUCUAUGCCUGCUUUUUCCAGCUGCGCUGAAAACCUUUUUCCCAUUUAAGCUGGCACUUAAACUGAUGUUCAUCACCAGCUGAGAAGGAUUCAUUUGGAGGUAACACAUCUUUCUAAAAGAUUUGCUAGGUUAAUUUUCAGAAGUACUGUGCUUUUCUGGUUUCUGCUGAUGAUAAUGUAGGCUGCAUUUGUUCUUACACCUAGAGAAUCUAAAUGUCCUGAAUAAAAGCACCUGUGCUGAAUGACA